CUUUGAGUGAUAUUUUAAAAGUAAUCCUGAAUUUCAAAUUAGGCUUUUUUGCUCAAAAAGAAAGACUGAUCUAGUUCUACUCCCUGGGUCCUCAGGGUAUGCUUCAUUACUCAACAGGACAAAUCUUUGAGAAAUCUUCCUUUUAUAUUUAUUUCUUCAAAUGUCCAUGCUUUACUAGAAAUAGUAAAAAACAAAGCUGCCUUUAAAAAAAAAAAAGCAAAUCCAGGAUGUAAGUAACAAAAGAAAAAUAAAUCCUCUCCAAAGCUAGACUCUAAUUCAGAGUGUAACUGUCUCCGCUAUCUCUGUUUGAAGGCGUCCUCUUGUAUUCCUUGUGACAUUUCUCUUCACUCAGCCCGGUGCUGUUUUACAGCAACGUGAGGAUGUCUGAAGAGAAAUGAACUCAUUCUCUGAAGUCCCUUGUAGUAAAGGAAAACAGAUGGAGGAUUUCCUGCUGAGGACUCCCUACCGAGGCACAAAUUCGAGGGGGUGUGGAAUUGACUUGUUAAGGCGCUCGGUUUUCUAGGCUCAGCAGAAUCAGCUCAGCAAUGAGCCCAUAUAUGCUGUCUCUGCGCUACAGAGAACUCUGUCAUCCUGCAAUAACUCCACCGAAAGCAAGUGGCGGAGGCGGCUCAACAACAUUAUAGGGCCCUGUUUGUCAUCACCCCUAUUGCAACCACAUCUUACCUCAGGACCAGAGAAAUGCACGACAGAGCAGAGCAUGGACUUUGGAGACAGAGAAUCCUGACUGUGGGUUGCAACUCUGGCAUUUUUGAG
rnacentral:lncRNA from 1 species